rnacentral:sRNA from 1 species
UGGACACAUAUUUUAAUUAAAUGUUUUAACAUUAAAACAUUUAAAAUAAUUAACUGUUCUAAUUUAAAAUUGUACUAGUGUCCCAGUAGGCAUAAUGCUAGAGAUGUCUCUCUUGAUGAAAUGUUAGGUAUUUGUAUUUUCAGAAUAAUAAUCUGAUAAAGACAAAUAACUAGGAUUAUAAAACAGUUCUUAUUAUGCAUAGCAUUUCUUUUCUUCUUGAUUCUUCUGAGCAGUAUCCAGAGUUACUCGUGGCUUCCUAUAACAACAAUGAAGAUGCCCCUCAUGAGCCUGAUGGUGUGGCCCUUGUAUGGAAUAUGAAAUACAAAAAAACUACCCCAGAGUAUGUGUUUCACUGCCAGUCAGCUGUGAUGUCUGCCACAUUUGCAAAAUUUCAUCCAAAUCUUGUUGUUGGUGGUACAUAUUCAGGCCAAAUUGUGCUUUGGGAUAACCGUAGCAAUAAAAGAACUCCAGUGCAAAGAACUCCACUGUCAGCAGCUGCACACACACACCCUGUAUAUUGUGUAAAUGUUGUUGGAACACAAAAUGCUCACAAUCUGAUUAGCAUCUCUACUGAUGGAAAAAUUUGUUCAUGGAGUCUGGACAUGCUUUCCCAUCCACAGGAUAGCAUGGAGUUGGUUCAUAAACAGUCAAAAGCAGUAGCUGUGACAUCUAUGUCCUUCCCUGUUGGAGAUGUCAACAACUUUGUUGUUGGGAGUGAAGAAGGUUCUGUGUACACAGCAUGCCGCCAUGGCAGCAAAGCUGGAAUCAGUGAGAUGUUUGAGGGGCAUCAAGGACCAAUCACUGGCAUCCAUUGUCAUGCAGCUGUUGGAGCAGUAGACUUCUCACAUCUUUUUGUCACUUCAUCGUUUGACUGGACAGUAAAGCUUUGGACAACUAAGAAUAACAAGCCUUUGUAUUCAUUUGAAGAUAAUGCAGACUAUGUUUAUGAUGUUAUGUGGUCACCUACCCACCCAGCCCUGUUUGCCUGUGUGGAUGGCAUGGGGAGAUUGGAUUUGUGGAAUCUCAAUAAUGACACAGAGGUACCAACUGCCAGCAUUUCUGUGGAGGGUAAUCCUGCUCUUAAUCGUGUGAGAUGGACCCAUUCUGGCAGAGAGAUUGCUGUGGGUGAUUCUGAAGGACAGAUUGUUAUAUAUGAUGUGGGAGAGCAGAUUGCUGUUCCCCGCAAUGAUGAAUGGGCACGGUUUGGCCGAACACUUGCAGAAAUUAAUGCAAACCGAGCUGAUGCAGAGGAGGAAGCAGCUACCCGAAUACCUGCUUAGUUCCUGAAAAGGGGAGUGUAACUAGUGGAUUUGGGAAACGUUCUUAAGUAGAUCCUGAGACUAUUUGCAUGCUUCUAUCUAAAUGAUAAUUAAAAGGAAGUUUCAUGGAUUAAACCAUGGGUUUAAUGCAGCAAGGAAACUUACAAUGUCCCUUUAUAUAUAACAUGCAUCUUGUUUUGGAUUUGUGUCAUUUUUUAAUAUAGCUGAUUGACUUCACAGAAAGCAGCUUUUUUGAAUUCUAAUACACAGGUGUAUAUUUGGUAUUAGUUAUUUUGAGUUCUUUUCAACUUAUAACAUUGUAUACAGUUAUUUCUAAAGCACAGAUGAAAUAAGUUCUGCAUAUUUUUAAAUAAUCACAGUUCCCUGUUAUACAGAUAAUGUUCUCACUACCCAUAAUAUGUAGGAACAUUGUUUCUCCUUAGCCGUAGUAUGCAUACACCUAUCCAUGUUCAUUCUGACAUCCUUUGUUGUCUUUAUAAUUCAUGUGGUAGUUACCUAUAAAUAAAAACAAAUAUGCG